rnacentral:rRNA from 1 species
ACCGUCGAACGGGUGCGUAACGCGUAUGCAACCUGCCUAUCACUGAGGGAUAGCCUUUCGAAAGGGAGAAUAAUACCUCAUAGUACAAUUGGAUGGCAUCGUUUAAUUGUUAAAGAUUUAUUGGUGAUAGAUGGGCAUGCGUCUGAUUAGUUAGUUGGCAGGGUAACGGCCUACCAAGACGAUGAUCAGUAGGGGGCGUCAGAGCGUGGUCCCCCACACUGGCACUGAGAUACGGGCCAGACUCCUACGGGAGGCAGCAGUAGGGAAUAUUGGGCAAUGGAUGCAAGUCUGACCCAGCCAUGCCGCGUGCAGGAAGAAGGUCCUCUGGAUUGUAAACUGCUUUUAUUAGGGAAGAAUAGUUCUCUUGCGAGGGAAUGUGACGGUACUUAAUGAAUAAGCACCGGCUAACUACGUGCCAGCAGCCGCGGUAAUACGUAGGGUGCAAGCGUUGUCCGGAUUUAUUGGGUUUAAAGGGUGCGUAGGCGGUAUUUUAAGUCAGUGGUGAAAUCUGGUUGCUCAACAAUCAAAGGGCCAUUGAUACUGGGAUACUUGAGAGAAGUGGAGGCUUUUGGAAUGGAUGGUGUAGCGGUGAAAUGCAUAGAUAUCAUCCAGAACACCGAUUGCGAAGGCAGGAAGCUGUACUUUAUCUGACGCUGAGGCACGAAAGCGUGGGGAUCAAACAGGAUUAGAUACCCUGGUAGUCCACGCUGUAAACGAUGAGGACUAGCUAUUGGUUUUAGAUAAUCAGUGGCUAAGGGAAGCCGAUAAGUCCUCCACCUGGGGAGUAC